CCAUCUUGUUGUCAGCUUAUUGGCCCUAUUGUUCUCAUUUAAACAUGUUGGCAACUGGAAAGACACCAAUUGGUUCUCACUAUGAUCAAAUAUAUAACAUAAUCUCCCCUAUGUGGCUGGUGGCAGCUGAAGACAAUGCCACGCUCAUGUCAGGUUUUGCACCUGCAUUUGAAUCGGUGCCUGAAGGCUCACGUUUCCACUGGAAACUUCUGGCACCCGCUUUCAUGGGAGUACGCCCUCUAAAUGAGCUACCAGGGAGAACACCCCUUGGGUAUGCCAUCCUACCCCUAGCAUAU
rnacentral:lncRNA from 1 species